UAUUUUAAUUUUGUUCCAGCAGCCGCGGUAAAACGUAGGUCACAAGCGUUGUCCGGAAUUACUGGGUGUAAAGGGAGCGCAGGCGGGAAGACAAGUUGGAAGUGAAAUCUAUGGGCUCAACCCAUAAACUGCUUUCAAAACUGUUUUUCUUGAGUAGUGCAGAGGUAGGCGGAAUUCCCGGUGUAGCGGUGGAAUGCGUAGAUAUCGGGAGGAACACCAGUGGCGAAGGCGGCCUACUGGGCACCAACUGACGCUGAGGCUCGAAAGUGUGGGUAGCAAACAGG
rnacentral:rRNA from 1 species